CAAAGUUGCAGAGAUUGAAAAUAGUACUAUUCCGAUCUUUUUGGACUCGUAUACUGUUCUUUCUAUACGCGUGCAGCUAUCUACCCUACCUGUAUACCUAUAUACCGACAGAGUAAUGGGGUAAUAAAUAAGCACGCUGCUGUUGUUGGAUUAUCGAAGAAAUACAAGAAUUCAAAAUUUAUAUUAUCAACUCGUUGGAUAAAUCGUAUAAAAACAAUCGCAAUAUAAGUAGGUAUUCAAAUACCUAGACGUAUACAAAGUUAACGAAAGUGAAAAAUGUUACGACUAAAUAUCACAAUAGGUACCUAUUGAAUAAGUAUAUUACAGUUAUAAGUAAAUUUAAUGUUAUGCUUUAGAAAUGAUGCAAUUUUUUAGAUCCAUCACGGAGAUGGGGCUACGAGAAGAAGAGCACAGCCUGCCAUACAAACCCCUUGAGCUUUAGCACAAAGAACCAAUGCCGCAGGAGUUCCAACUCCGAAAGUAACUGCAAUUACGUACAAAAUGUUUUCAAAUUUCUGAUGGCAUUUAAACGUAAAAAAGUACUUUUCGAUUGAAACUUACCAGUACCCAUUGUAGUUCCUCCUGCAGCAAAGCACGCAGCAGCAACUACGUUGCAUCCAGUCUGGCAAAGCCCGUAUGUAAGUGGACCGGCGAAGGCGCCAUUAUUACAUAAGAACAAAAUUAAUACGAAAAAUAAUAAUUGCUUCAUGUUUCUUAUCAAAAUGUUUAACGCACAAAAAGUUUUCACAGAAUUACAGAUUGAAAUUCCACGUUCAAUUUAGAGCACAGCGAACACAGCUGCCUCAAGUAAUGCGAUCCUUUUCUUUCUAUGAAUACAUACGUCCACUUGAUGAAGAAGAAAGGAUGCCAUGAGAUCAGAUGAAGUAAUUACGAGUGAAUUCGAUUCGAUCAAUCAUCGACCUUACAGAUAAAUCAAUUUCAACGAAAGGGGAAAGGGGUUUCAAUCAAAUAGAAAAAUUGCGAUAUUUCACCACACCUGGAAUGAUGAUUUAUC